CCUGAGAAACCCAAAAGAUCGAAUGGGGAGAUCAUCGUCAGCGAUCCUGGUACGUGUGCGGUUCGUGAUGCCGGAGACUUCGGUCUCGUGGCACGCGUCCGCAUGGUUUUUAUUGCCGGGUAUCGUCGGCGUGCACUUCUCCCCUAGUAGGACGUCGCGACCCGUUGGGUGUCGGUCUACGGCCCGGGUGGGUGCCUGUAAUGUGUCACGCUUUACCGCGUCAUGUUGCAGACCCCCGGUUGUCUGUCCGGCUGCCCGGCGGUACUCGCACGGUAUCGAGCCGCAAAUAUUAGAACUGCGUCCGGCCCGCCGCAAGCGAGGUCAGUGUUUCCCGGAUGUACGGACCUAGCGCCGUCACCGGGCCUGGCCAGCUGCUGGUCGGCGGUGUCCUGGGACUGGCUCUCAAAUUAUGAUACCGGUCGGCGACGCUACUGCUUUGGGUACUUUCAGGA
rnacentral:rRNA from 1 species